CGCUUUUGUUAGGUGCUAUAACUCCCAGCCGCUAAACCCCCAAUUUUUUGUGGUUGACCUCGGAUCAG
rnacentral:rRNA from 1 species